ensembl:snoRNA SNORA13 small nucleolar RNA, H/ACA box 13
CGCCUUUGUGUUGCCCAUUUACUUUGGAAGCUAGUGAAUGUGGUGUCAAGAAAGGCGUAAAGUAAGCCCUUGGCAGGGUUUUCCUGCUUGUGACCCUGCUGUCUCAGGCACAGGAACUGCACAAGGAAUAGGA